ACGAUAACUAAUUUUUAUUACAAAUUAUUAUGCAAAGUCACUGACUUGAGCGUCAGAGUGUCUUUUGUAGGCACCCUCCCCCGCGGCUAGGACAAGGAGAAGAGAGAGAACAACACAACUUCAAAGAUGGAAUAGAAAAAUUUUAAUGCUUUGGGUUAGGGAUCUUAAUCCUACCGAAACAUUUUGGCGCCCACCGUGGGGCCCGAACGAUAUACUCUUAGGGCCGUUAGGAACCAGACCAACAUUCGGUUCCAACACCAGUACUUCGGCCACACCCUUACAUGUUGACCCUUGUCAGUGGUGGUAAAAAGUCUCACCACUAACGUCAACCAUCUUUGAGGCUUGCGUGCAUUCGGCUUUAUUCAACACAUACACUUG
rnacentral:lncRNA from 1 species